rnacentral:rRNA from 1 species
CCUACGGGAGGCAGCAGUGGGGAAUAUUGCACAAUGGGCGAAAGCCUGACGCAGCGACGCCGCGUGAGGGAUGACGGCCUUCGGGUUGUAAACCUCUUUCAGCAGGGAAGAAGCGAAAGUGACGGUACCUGCAGAAGAAGCGCCGGCUAACUACGUGCCAGCAGCCGCGGUAAUACGUAGGGCGCAAGCGUUGUCCGGAAUUAUUGGGCGUAAAGAGCUCGUAGGCGGCUUGUCACGUCGGAUGUGAAAGCCCGGGGCUUAACCCCGGGUCUGCAUUCGAUACGGGCUAGCUAGAGUGUGGUAGGGGAGAUCGGAAUUCCUGGUGUAGCGGUGAAAUGCGCAGAUAUCAGGAGGAACACCGGUGGCGAAGGCGGAUCUCUGGGCCAUUACUGACGCUGAGGAGCGAAAGCGUGGGGAGCGAACAGGAUUAGAUACCCUGGUAGUCCACGCCGUAAACGUUGGGAACUAGGUGUUGGCGACAUUCCACGUCGUCGGUGCCGCAGCUAACGCAUAAGUUCCCGCCUGGGGAGUACGGCCGCAAGGCUAAAACGUUAAAUGAAUUGACGG